rnacentral:rRNA from 1 species
UACAUCAGCUAUAUCACCCUGCAGCUCUCAACUGGCUACCCAUCAAAGCAAAGCAGGGUUGAGCCUGGUCAGUACCUGGAUGGGAGACCACCUGGGAAGCUAUGGUUGCUGCUGGAA